UACGUAGGGGGCAAGCGUUGUCCGGAUUUAUUGGGCGUAAAGAGCGUGUAGGCGGUUUGGUAGGUCCGUUGUGAAAACUCGAGGCUCAACCUCGAGACGCCGAUGGAAACCAUCAGACUAGAGUCCGGAAGAGGAGAGUGGAAUUCCUGGUGUAGCGGUGAAAUGCGCAGAUAUCAGGAAGAGCACCCGUGGCUAAGGCGGCUCUCUAGUACGGUACUGACGCUGAGACGCGAAAGCGUGGGGAGCGAACAGG
rnacentral:rRNA from 1 species